rnacentral:rRNA from 1 species
GGGGUUCUAUACAUGCAGUCGAGCGGACAGAAGGGAGCUUGCUCCCGGAUGUUAGCGGCGGACGGGUGAGUAACACGUGGGUAACCUGCCUGUAAGACUGGGAUAACUCCGGGAAACCGGAGCUAAUACCGGAUAGUUCCUUGAACCGCAUGGUUCAAGGAUGAAAGACGGUUUCGGCUGUCACUUACAGAUGGACCCGCGGCGCAUUAGCUAGUUGGUGAGGUAACGGCUCACCAAGGCGACGAUGCGUAGCCGACCUGAGAGGGUGAUCGGCCACACUGGGACUGAGACACGGCCCAGACUCCUACGGGAGGCAGCAGUAGGGAAUCUUCCGCAAUGGACGAAAGUCUGACGGAGCAACGCCGCGUGAGUGAUGAAGGUUUUCGGAUCGUAAAGCUCUGUUGUUAGGGAAGAACAAGUGCAAGAGUAACUGCUUGCACCUUGACGGUACCUAACCAGAAAGCCACGGCUAACUACGUGCCAGCAGCCGCGGUAAUACGUAGGUGGCAAGCGUUGUCCGGAAUUAUUGGGCGUAAAGGGCUCGCAGGCGGUUUCUUAAGUCUGAUGUGAAAGCCCCCGGCUCAACCGGGGAGGGUCAUUGGAAACUGGGAAACUUGAGUGCAGAAGAGGAGAGUGGAAUUCCACGUGUAGCGGUGAAAUGCGUAGAGAUGUGGAGGAACACCAGUGGCGAAGGCGACUCUCUGGUCUGUAACUGACGCUGAGGAGCGAAAGCGUGGGGAGCGAACAGGAUUAG